AAAAUGGUGGCAAUUUGUUUGGAUCGGAUGAAAGGCAGAGAAGUCACGAUCUUGCUUCACAUGGUGUAAUGCUACUCCAGACUGCCUUAUCUGAGAAGCCUGGGAAUGCAAAUGAAGGUAGAGUCGUAAGGAAGCCAUUAUCUGACAUUGGCAAUAGCUUGGUAAGUGUUGGUCUUAUGCCAUUAGAAGAGAGUUUCCCCCCCCCCCCCCCAAACCCCCCCCCCAAAAAAAAAAUAAUUUGUGUUUUAAAUUUGGUUUUCACAAUGUUUGAAAUUCUUCAGGCAAAAUCCGGCGCACCAAAACAGAAUAUCAGGAAAAAAUGGCGCAAGUCGGUUAUUCAACUUGUACCUGCUACGCCACCUGUGCCUCAACCUCAGAAUGUUGAAGUGCCAGAACAGUCAAAAGCUAAUGCAGAGCAGUCAAAAGCUAAUGCAGAAAGUGACAUUCC
rnacentral:lncRNA from 1 species